rnacentral:rRNA from 1 species
UCUGAACCUUCGGGGAACGAUAACGGCGUCGAGCGGCGGACGGGUGAGUAAUGCCUAGGAAAUUGCCCUGAUGUGGGGGAUAACCAUUGGAAACGAUGGCUAAUACCGCAUGAUGCCUACGGGCCAAAGAGGGGGACCUUCGGGCCUCUCGCGUCAGGAUAUGCCUAGGUGGGAUUAGCUAGUUGGUGAGGUAAGGGCUCACCAAGGCGACGAUCCCUAGCUGGUCUGAGAGGAUGAUCAGCCACACUGGAACUGAGACACGGUCCAGAYUCCUACGGGAGGCAGCAGUGGGGAAUAUUGCACAAUGGGCGCAAGCCUGAUGCAGCCAUGCCGCGUGUGUGAAGAAGGCCUUCGGGUUGUAAAGCACUUUCAGUCGUGAGGAAGGUGGUGUAGUUAAUAGCUGCAUUAUUUGACGUUAGCGACAGAAGAAGCACCGGCUAACUCCGUGCCAGCAGCCGCGGUAAUACGGAGGGUGCGAGCGUUAAUCGGAAUUACUGGGCGUAAAGCGCAUGCAGGUGGUUUGUUAAGUCAGAUGUGAAAGCCCGGGGCUCAACCUCGGAAUAGCAUUUGAAACUGGCAGACUAGAGUACUGUAGAGGGGGGUAGAAUUUCAGGUGUAGCGGUGAAAUGCGUAGAGAUCUGAAGGAAUACCGGUGGCGAAGGCGGCCCCCUGGACAGAUACUGACACUCAGAUGCGAAAGCGUGGGGAGCAAACAGGAUUAGAUACCCUGGUAGUCCACGCCGUAAACGAUGUCUACUUGGAGGUUGUGGCCUUGAGCCGUGGCUUUCGGAGCUAACGCGUUAAGUAGACCGCCUGGGGAGUACGGUCGCAAGAUUAAAACUCAAAUGAAUUGACGGGGGCCCGCACAAGCGGUGGAGCAUGUGGUUUAAUUCGAUGCAACGCGAAGAACCUUACCUACUCUUGACAUCCAGAGAACUUUCCAGAGAUGGAUUGGUGCCUUCGGGAACUCUGAGACAGGUGCUGCAUGGCUGUCGUCAGCUCGUGUUGUGAAAUGUUGGGUUAAGUCCCGCAACGAGCGCAACCCUUAUCCUUGUUUGCCAGCGAGUAAUGUCGGGAACUCCAGGGAGACUGCCGGUGAUAAACCGGAGGAAGGUGGGGACGACGUCAAGUCAUCAUGGCCCUUACGAGUAGGGCUACACACGUGCUACAAUGGCGCAUACAGAGGGCGGCCAACUUGCGAAAGUGAGCGAAUCCCAAAAAGUGCGUCGUAGUCCGGAUUGGAGUCUGCAACUCGACUCCAUGAAGUCGGAAUCGCUAGUAAUCGUGGAUCAGAAUGCCACGGUGAAUACGUUCCCGGGCCUUGUACACACCGCCCGUCACACCAUGGGAGUGGGCUGCAAAAGAAGUAGGUAGUUUAACCUUCGGGGGGACGC